rnacentral:ncRNA from 1 species
CUUAUCUAGAGUGGUGGAGGGACUGGCCCUAUGAAACCCGGCAACCUGUGUAUUAAUACAAGGUGCUAAAUCCUACAGUAUCUUAUGCUGAAAGAUGAG